ACUACUUUCGCGAAAGGACACUUUAUUAAUUGUGUUGUGUGUACGUGUUUUAUUGAAAAUGACGAGUUUGCAAUGCAUCAAUUGCAAUGUUCGCUUGUCCCGAAGAAGAAGACACGCUUUAUCCAAUGACGGUGAAGAUAUCGUCAACACUAUUCGUCUGUGGACAUAUCUUAGAGAUGUAAGUAGUUUCCACAUAACAUUGUGUGUACGAAUGGGCCAUAGUUACGAACUUCAAUAACUUUUAUGUGUGAUAUCACACUAAAUAAACACAUAAGUAAUCGGUAACAUGUAUUAUUUACUUGCCUUACUUGGUUUGCAUAACACUGUUAUAAUUUAUUAGUACCUAUUAUUUUGUUUAAUGGUGAGCCAUACUCAAAAUCAUUUAAUUAUUUCUAGAUUACACCAGAUGACCAUGUUUACCAUGAAUGCUGGCAGCUAGCUAGUCAUUCAUGUUCUUCUGAUAAUAUGCCGAGAAGACACAUAGGCCAUCAGUGUUUGUGUUGUAUGUGGACAACCCAUACUAAGAAUCAGGCAAUGCAGAAUUUUGAUUGAAGAAGAACAAAGAACGGCGUACACAAUUGCUACUUGGAUCUAACCACGACAGCUUCAUCCUGAAGAUAAAGCUUGUGUGCGGUGUUGGUUAAGAGUGAGAACUAAGGAUACUUCACUAAAUGAAGAUAUUCAAUCCGUUAAACCUAAUCAGCAGAAAAGUGAUAAUUCUGAACUGAUGUGUGCUGCAUGUGGUCAAAGUCUUACUCCCAACAACACCUGCUUGUUUGUUGGAGCACCAGCAGGUAUAUAAUAAUAUGAAAUAACAUAUUUUUAGUAAUUAGCUUCUAAAAACGCAAUGCAAAGAGCAAUUACAAUUUUAUGUUGCUAAAUGUAAGACACUAAUGAUGUUGGCUCUACUAACAACAAAAAGAUCCUGGUCUUUCCAUUCUCUACUCCAGUGAACAAUAAAUAUAUUUAGUAUUUUUGGAAAGGUCUUCGGUAAAAACCACCAAUCCUUGUGUGUCAAGAUUUAUUCUCUAGCCUGGUUAUUUUUUGCGCAAUUUAUAUACAUGAAUGUUAUUUAUUUACAGACACCUUCCAUGAAUGAAGUUUGUGAAGUUUGCUGGGGCCAAGUAUGCAAUUUGAGCUUCUAUGAUCCAGAUGGUCUAUGUUGCUUCAAGCUAAAAUAAAGUCCUGCCACUCUUCUCCUAAUAGAAACAAAUAUGAAUAGCCGGGACACAAUCAAAAGUGAUUGCUGUAAUUGUAUUGUAGGUUUAAGAACAGUGGGAUGCUGCUCGCAUGUUAUGAGCAUUCUUUGGUAUUUGAGUUAUGCUUGCCAUGAGGGUAUGACCCGACCUGCCCCUUUUUUGGAUGAAGUAAUAUUAAGAACCAAUCAAGUAAUUAUGUAUAAGAAAAUAAAGUAAAUGUAUUCCUACAAAAA